UGACCUAGCGGCGGACGGGUGAGUAAUGCUUAGGAAUCUGCCUAUUAGUGGGGGACAACAUUCCGAAAGGAAUGCUAAUACCGCAUACGCCCUACGGGGGAAAGCAGGGGAUCUUCGGACCUUGCGCUAAUAGAUGAGCCUAAGUCAGAUUAGCUAGUUGGUGGGGUAAAGGCCUACCAAGGCGACGAUCUGUAGCGGGUCUGAGAGGAUGAUCCGCCACACUGGGACUGAGACACGGCCCAGACUCCUACGGGAGGCAGCAGUGGGGAAUAUUGGACAAUGGGCGAAAGCCUGAUCCAGCCAUGCCGCGUGUGUGAAGAAGGCCUUUUGGUUGUAAAGCACUUUAAGCGAGGAGGAGGCUACUUGGAUUAAUACUCUAGGAUAGUGGACGUUACUCGCAGAAUAAGCACCGGCUAACUCUGUGCCAGCAGCCGCGGUAAUACAGAGGGUGCGAGCGUUAAUCGGAUUUACUGGGCGUAAAGCGUGCGUAGGCGGCUUUUUAAGUCGGAUGUGAAAUCCCUGAGCUUAACUUAGGAAUUGCAUUCGAUACUGGGAAGCUAGAGUAUGGGAGAGGAUGGUAGAAUUCCAGGUGUAGCGGUGAAAUGCGUAGAGAUCUGGAGGAAUACCGAUGGCGAAGGCAGCCAUCUGGCCUAAUACUGACGCUGAGGUACGAAAGCAUGGGGAGCAAACAGGAUUAGAUACCCUGGUAGUCCAUGCCGUAAACGAUGUCUACUAGCCGUUGGGGCCUU
rnacentral:rRNA from 1 species